rnacentral:lncRNA from 1 species
UCUGGAAGAAUUUAGAAUUGAUUAAGUGGAGCUGAAUGAAUAAAAAUACAAUCCAAGUUUUUUACUCAACUCAAUUUAUACUCGCUCACAUGCAGCAAGCUAAUAACUAACUUUUACAAUAAUAGAAUUACUAAGAGUUUGAUUCUUUUAACCAAUUACAAUAAGCCAGCUGGCUUGUCAUAACAACUUAACACACCAACACAUAUUUUGCUUAUUCAUUAAGCCAGCUCAUGAGUUCAUCAGCAUGCACCAAUUCAUCAACACUCAUCAGCGCACACACAGCACCAGAUCGGCCAACACUCAACAGGACACACAGCACCAGAUCAGCUUAUCAUCUAACAUUCCCCCUCAAGCUCAGCCUAAGGUAAUGAGGUUGAGCUUGGUACACAAUGAACGAAAAAGGUGAUAAGAUAAGGCUUUGGUCAUAAUAUCAGUAACAUUGUCUGAGCUAGGAACAUAACGGACUUGAAAACUUUGAGUAGCUACCUUUUCUUGUAAGAAAUGAACAUCAAGCUCAAUGUGCUUGGUACGAGAGUGAAACUUUGGAUUACUUGCUAAGGCAGUUGCGCUUUGAUUAUCACACCAAAGAAUAGGUGUGGAAGUAAGAGUGACACCAAGCUCUGUCAACGAAGAUCUGAUCCAAAGAAAAGAAUCUCAUAAGCAGCCAUGGCCAAGGCUCGGUACUCUGAUUCUGUGCUCGACCUAAGGACUAUAGCCUGCUUCUUGGAGCACCAUAUACCAAAUUUUUGGACAAAGAUAGACACAAUAACCAGCUAUAGGCCAUUAAUCAUCUCGAUCACUCACCUAAUUAGCAUCACUAAAGCAAUUACUGUCCAAAAGACCAUGACUAGAAAACUAUUAACCCAUGUGUAAAGUACCCUUAAGAUACCUGAAGAAUCUCUUGCAAGCUUCGCAGUGAUUAACAGUAGGAGCAGCCAAAAAUUGACUGAGCUUAUUCAUUGGAAAUGCUAUUUCAAUUCUGGUCAAAGUGGCAUAUUAUAAAGCGCCAAUAGAGCUUUGACAAAGAGUUAUAUCAGCAAAAGAUUCACUGUCUGCUUUAUUAGGAGGAAUAACAGCUGCCAUUGGAGUGGAACAGGGAGUGCAGCCAUGCAUUUGAAAGAUGCAAGCCAUCAAUAUUUUUGAUAAUCUAAAGACCCAGAAAAUAUCUUAAUUCUCCAAGGUCUUUAAGUGCAAAAGUGGACUACAUAUUUGUGAUAACUUGCUGUAUUAGAUUGGAAUUGGAACCUGUCACAAUUAUGUCAUCAACAAAGACAACAAGAAGUAAAAGAGAUAAUGAACGCUUUUGAAUAAGAGAGAUAUAUCUGAUCAUGAGUUGUGAAAACCCCAAUGAUGUGUCAGCACCAUUUUUAACCUGUUAAACCAGGCUUUAGAACCUGUUUAAGAAUCUAAAGAGCCUUUUGAAGUUUACAAACAUGAGUAGGCUUGGACUGAUCUACAAAGCCCUCUGGUUGUUGCAUGUAGACGUCCUCAAUUAGAUAGCCAUGAAGAAAGUUGUUGCCGUUAACUUGCCUUAGUGACCAAUUAUUCAUGAUAGUUAAGGUAAGAAUAGCUUUGAUGGUAAAGGCCUUAACAACAGGGCUAAAUGUCUCAUUGUAGUCAACCCCCUGAGUUUGAUGAAAUCCUUUAGCUACUAACCUUAGUUUGUAUCUAGAAAUUCUGCCAUAAGGAAUGUAUUUAAUCUUAUAUGCGCAUUUGUUGCCUAUUGCUCAAGUUGAACUUGGAGGUUUAAUAUGAGUUCAAGUCUUGUUGUCAAUUAAGGCCCGAUACUCUUCUUAUGUUAUUUAUGAACCAAUGAAUUCUGAUAUUUCACUAAUAAAUUAAAGCUAAAUUGAACCCAAAAGUAUUCAAGCCACCAAUCUUGAUAACAAUCUGCUGCAAACCAAGUUUCUCCAAUUUCCAGUAGCUUCACUCGUUCUUGGAACAACAGCUCUUCAAAAAUAAUGCAACUGAUAUGUGUAGAAGCUGCAAAACAAAAAUUAAUGAACGAAAUACAGGAAGAGAUGAAUUAGGAAGCCAAGGCGUGCCAAUGAAGCACUGUCCUUAAAGAACAGAUUCUGCCCCUUCACGGAUAAUUUCCAGGUGCGUAAAGGAAUCAACGACAGUCUGAUCUUCCAAGAUUCAAUGGCGUUCUAACUGUAAUGGCGCACUCCAAACUACAGUAAAUUGAAACAGCUCAUUUAAUUUGUUUCCAGGUAAAGUGUAUAACUUUGAUGAAGAUGGAGAAGAAAUUUUGAAGAAUUUUUUUUUUCCCUCUACUCCAUCAGUCACUGCAGUAGGCUUUUUAUAGCCUUGAAUUACAACAGUCAUCUCCUUGAUUCUUGCAAUGAAUCAGUGCAUGAAUCUGAUUUCAGAACCGGAUAUCGAGCAACUGCAGUGCUUAAACCAUGCCACGAACUUCGACAUGUAGAUGUACUCGACUUGACUAAUUCAAAUCAAUUUAAAACUAAUUUUCCAAUAAAAUAAUGAAUAUAUUAUUUUACAUCCAGUGGCUAAAAGAUGGGCCAAGCCCGUGAGCUCAUGUGUGCAUGAUUCAUUUUUUGUAUUUUGAAAUACCUCACAAUUUCUAACAAUCCCCCACAUAUUUCAAAAUACACCUAUGAUGCUUAUAAACACUUUACUGGAAUAUUAGAAUUUAAUGCUCAUGAGUUGGUGCCUUUCGGGCUAUGAACCAAUCAUUGAACAACUAAUCGCGUCUCACAAGAAUUUGGUGAAACAUAUAGUUUAUAUGAACCAAAAUUCAUAUUUUGUGAGUCGGAGGAUUAGAAGCUCGCAGUAAAUUCUCUCUAGGCAUUGCUGUUUAGCGGUUUGGCCUUUAAUGGCCCUGUGCCUUCUUGGUUUUCAUGAGUGCUCUAGAGAUACUUGUCUUGCUCUCAUAGAAAUCGACCCAAUUCCACACUCAUAUAGGUGAACCUCCAUCAAGUGUGUCCUGCAGUUUAGACACACCACCAUAGAGAAAGUAGGCUAUGGAGUUCAUUAAGAGCAUAAUAGCUCAACCUAAAUCACUGCAAUUAGCAACUAUCUCGCCAUAGGGAGGACUCAAAUAUAUAAAUCGAUAGUGCCACCAGACAACAAAUGAUUUGUUAUUACCCUUAUGAACCUACUUCAUGGGAUCUCCAAUCACAUAGGUAGGGUAACCAUCACUCUUGUCUACGGUUCUAGACAGAAGUCCCAUCCCCCUCGACAUAUUUACCACCAACCUCCUAUUUAGUGGUUUUGUCAGAGGAUCGGCCAAAUUUAACUCCGACUUCACAAAAUCUAGGCUCACUACCCCAGAUUUUAACAGCUGUUUUAUAAUAUUAUGUCUCAGACGUAUGUGUCUGCUUUUCCCAUUAUAGAUUUCACUCUUUGCUUUAGCAAUAGCGGCCUGACAAUCACAGUGUAUAGACACUGAGGUAGGAGGGUGAGUACAAAUGAGAAGAUCUACUAAGAGGUUUCUUAACCACUCAGCCUCAGUACAUGCCUUUUCUAAGGCAAUUAGCUCGGACUCCAUGGUAGAACGAGCUAUACAUGUUUGCUUAGGGGAUUUCCAAGACACAGCACCUCCACUAAGAGUAAAUAUAUAACCACUAGUGGAUUUGAUUUCAUCAUACCCUGAAAUCCAAUUUGCAUCGCUAUACCCUUCUAACACUGGUGGAGCGCUACUAUAAUUAAGUCCAUAAUCAAUGGUGCCUCUCAAAUACCUUGCAAGUCUGUCUAUGGCAGUCUAAUGAUCCUUACUUGGAUUUUGAGUAUAUCUACUCAAUCUGCCUACGGCAUAUGCAAUAUCAGGUCUUGUACUAUUCAUUAAGUACAUUAGGCUACCAAUGAUUUGAGCAUACCUCAAUUGAUCAACACUUUGUUUUAAAUUUUUCUUAAGAUGGGUAUUUGCAUCAUACGGUGUAGAUACAAGUUUUUUGUCAUAAUACCCAAAUCUUCUCAACAUUUUCUCAACAUAGUGUUCUUGUGAUAACCUGAAACUAUCACUAGUUUUAGUGAUUUUAAUGCCUAGUAUAACAUCUGCUUCUCCCAUAUCCUUCAUAUCAAAGUUAGAAGCAAGCAUCCACUUGGUCUCAUUUAUCGUUCCUAGAUUAGGACUUAGGAUGAGCAUGUCAUCAACAUAGAGACAAAUAAUCACAUAUGUAGUAGCAUCAAUGGAUUUGAAGUAAAUACAUUUGUUUGAAUCAUUGAUCACAUAUCCAUUUGACACUAAUUUGAUGAAUAUGUAAAUUAUGAAUUGCAGCAAGUGCAAUCAAAACUCUAAUGGAUGUAAUCCGCGUCACAGGAGCAUAUGUAUCAAAAUAAUCUAUGUCUUUCUUUUGUGAGAACCCUUUAGCAACUAAUCUUGCCUUGUACUUAUCAAUUGAUCCAUUAGCUUUCAAUUUUCUUUUAAAAAUUCAUUUGCACCCUAUAGGUUUAGUACCUGGAGGCAAAUCAACCAAUUCCCAUACAUGAUUGCUCAUGAUGGAAUCUAACUCACAGUUAAUUGCCUCUCUCCACAGGGGUGCAUCCCGAGAAGUCAUUGCUUCUUUGAAAGUCAUAGGAUCAUUCUCAGCAAGAAAAACAUAGUAGUCAUCACCAAAACUAGUGGUCAUUCUCAUUCGUUUACUUCUCCUUGGUUCAACAUCUGAACUCUUAGAAGGAUCAUCAAUUGAUUAUCUUUGGGGUAAAUAACUAACAUUAGUUUUCUUAGGAAAAAUAGAUUCAAAGAACUCAGCAUUCUUAGACUCAAUGAUGGUAUUCGCCUCAAACGAACAUCCCUCAUCUCUUAGUACUAAGAAUCUAUAAGUAGCACUGUUCUGAGCAUACCCUAUAAAUAAACAGUCUAUAGUUUUAGGUCCCAACCUAAUUCUUUUAGGAACUGGUUUAAGAACCUUCGCUAGGCACCCCCACACUUUGAGGUAUGAUAAAUUUGGCUUAUAGCCCCUCCAUAACUUAUAGGGUGUCUUUCCUGUUUUCUUAUAGGGUAUUCUAUUUUGAAUGUGGCAAGCUGAAAACAUAGCUUCCCCCCACAAAUUCAACGGUGCUCCAGAACUUAUUAACAUGGCAUUUACCAUUUCUUUUAAUGUUCUAUUUUUCCUUUCAGCCACACCAUUCGAUUUAGGUGAAUAAGGAGGUGUCACUUCAUGGAUGAUACCAUGAUUCUCACAAUAAGCAUUUAACAUGCUUGAAUCAUAUUCACCUCCUCUAUCAGUUCUUAAUCUUUUGAUUUUUUUAUUAAGUUGAUUUUCAACUUCACUUUUAUAAAUUAAGAAGUUUUCACCUGCUUCAUCUUUAUUUCUCAAUAGAUAUAUUUUUGUAUAUCUUGAGAAAUCAUCAAUAAAGGUAAUAUAAUACCUUUUACCCCCUCUGGUCAUGGUCUGUUUUAAGUCACCAAGAUCACUGUGAAUUAAACUGAGAAGUUCAGUUUCUCUAUUUUGAACUGGUUUACAUGUCUUUUUUGUGGAUUUAGAUUCCACACAUACAUCACAUUUGUCAUUUGACAAGUUCAAUUUAAACAGUAAACCAAGUUCUUUCAUUUUCUUAAUGUAAGAAAAAUUCACAUGAACAAGCCCUCCAUGCCAUAAAUUAAUGGAGUCAACAAUAUUAGCAUAACAAUAAAUAUAAGCAGAAGAAGAAACAUUUUCAUUAAUGAUAACAUUAAGUACAUUGAGCUUGAAUAGUUCCCCAGAACAGUAACCUUUCCCAACAAAAACCCCAUUCUUAGUCAUUACAAUUUUGUCACCUUCAAAAGACACUUUAACCCCAGCCUUGCCCAGUACAAAAAUUGAUAUUAAGUUGUAUCGAAUUUCUGGAACAUGGAGAACGUUACUCAGUGAGAGGGUUUUCCCAGAAGUAAGUUUGAGAAGAACUUUUCCCUUGCCCAAGACCGGGGUUGACCGGGAAUCACCAAGGAAAAUAAAUUCUUCUCCUUCCCUCACUGGAGUAUACUCAAAAAAUGAAUUUCUGUUACCACAAAUAUGUUUGGUGGCUCCAGAAUCAAUCACCCAAUCAUUAUAUUCAGCAACCAUGUUCACUUCAGAGACAACCACAACAACGAUUAUUUCAUCUCUUUCAGCUGGAUUAGCUUUAGGAGGAUUUUUGUUGUCUCCUUUUCUUUGAGCUUUAUUUCUACAUUGAUAGGCAUAGUAUCCAAUUUUUCCACAAACAUAACAAUGACCUUUCUUUUUAGCUAUGGGGUUUUUGCUUUUAUUAUUAAAUAAUUUCUUGUUGGGAUUAUUUUGUCUCUUAUCAAAUUGGGGCUUAGUCUCAAUUACAUUUGCAUUAGAAUGAAGAUUUCUAGCCAUGUCUCUAAGCCUAUUCUGCUCUUCAAUCUUAAUAUGCACAAUCACAUCUUAAAGGCUCAUAGGUUUCUUCUUAUGCUUCGCAGUUUUGAUGUAGUCAUUCCAUGAUUCUAGAAGUUUCUCAAUCAAGCAACCAGCCAAAAAUCUUGCAGGAAGUAUAAUACCCUCAUUUUUAAGAUUAUCAACUAAUCGAUGGUCAGGAAGUAUAAUACCCUCAUUUUUAAGAACCAGCCAAAAAUCUUGCAGGAAGUAUAAUACCCUCAUUUUUAAGAUUAUCAACUAAUCGAUGGUAGUCAUGGAUUUGAUCUGUAACAGGCUUAUUAUCUACCAUCCUAAAAUGCAGAAAAUCACCAAUAAAGUAUUGUUGGGAUCCAGCCUCCUCCAUGAUAUAUUUUUUACUAAGCAGGUUCCAUAUUUCAUAGGCAUUCUUAUAAGUGUAGUAUAUGUCAUAAAGGUUGCUGGAAAGAGCACUUAAAAUCGUGUACCUGCAGAUCUUAUUAUUUGCAGUCCAAGUCUUCGUUUUGUUGUCAAAGUCUUCACAGCCUUCUUCUGGAGGAGAUAAGGUAAGAUAUUUUGCCAAGUUGUGCACAUCCAGAAUGUCAUGAAUUUUAUCUUGCCAACGCUUGAAAUGUUCUCCAUUAAAGGGUUCUAUUUUUGACACAUCUGGCAAAUUCUUGGCAGUGUAAGUGCAGUAGCAAUGGAAGAGGAUGAAGAAGCCAUGGCUAGAGUUAUUGUAGGAGCUGGAACAUUUUCAGAACUCAUUUUGAUGUAGUUUCUGUUCUUUAAGAUGUUAUUUAUGAACCAAUGAAUUCUGAUAUUUCACUAAUAAAUUAAAGCUAAAUUGAACCCAAAAGUAUUCAAGCCACCAAUCUUGAUAACAAUCUGCUGCAAACCAAGUUUCUCCAAUUUCCAAUAGCUUCACUCAUUCUUGGAACAACAACUCUUUAAAAAUAAUGCAACUGAUAUGUGUAGAAGCUGCAAAACAAAAAUUAAUGAACGAAAUACAGGAAGAGAUGAAUUAGGAAGCCAAGGCGUGCCAAUGAAGCACUGUCCUUAAAGAACAGAUUCUGCCCCUUCACGGAUAAUUUCCAGGUGCGUAAAGGAAUCAACGACAGUCUGAUCUUCCAAGAUUCAAUGGCAUUCUAACUGUAAUGGCGCACUCCAAACUACAGUAAAUUGAAACAGCUCAUUUAAUUUGUUUCCAAGUAAAGUGUAUAACUUUGAUGAAGAUGGAGAAGAAAUUUUGAAGAAUUUUUUUUUCCCUCUACUCCAUCAGUCACUGCAGCAGGCUUUUUAUAGCCUUGAAUUACAACAGUCAUCUCCUUGAUUCUUGCCAUGAAUUAGUGCAUGAAUCUGAUUUCAAGACCGGAUAUCGAGCAACUGCAGUGCUUAAACCAUGCCACGAACUUCGACAUGUAGAUGUACUCAGCUUGACUAAUUCAAAUAAGUUUAAAACUGAUUUUCCAAUAAAAUAAUGAAUAUAUUAUUUUACAUCAAGUGGCUAAAAGAUGGGCCAAGCCCGUGAGCUCAUGUGUGCAUGAUUCAUUUUUUGUAUUUUGAAAUACCUCACAAUUUCCAACACUUUUUUCAUGGCUUCAAACCAGACUGGAUUUUUCAAUUCAACUGAUACUGAAGAUGGCUUUGAAGGUUUAGAUGUACAGUUCACCAUGUAGGCUGGUUUAGGUUUUAAUAUCCCUGCUUUGGAUCUAGUGACCGUGAAAUGGCCAUGAAUAGGUUGAGGAGAAUGAGUUAAUUGGUGGGAUUGGAUGUCUAGUGAUAAGUGUUGAGGUUGUGAGGAUUGUCUUUUUGGUAAUGUUUGGAUAUUUGGUGAAAAUGAGGUAGAUAGAGCUGGAUUAGAGGCUAAAUCAUUUGCUCAAGCAGAGGAUGACAAGGGAGAUAUAUCAAGUUGUGCUCCAGUCUGUUGAAGAAGAAAAUGAACAAAAGGACUGACUGAAUUAUUAGAAGACUGAGAUGAGCAAGAACUUGAGGGUGAAGAAAGUUGGAUUCCAAACUCAAAAGGAAAAGAUGAUUCAUCAAAAACAUGAUCACCGAUAUAGACCUUAUCAGAAGAAUGAAGGCAUAGAUAGUCUUUGUGCAGUGAGCUGCAUCAAAGAAAGACACAGAUUCCAUUUCUAAAGGCAAGUUUCUAAUGAUUAUAAGGUCUUACUUUAUUGAUGCUGUAGAAAAAAUAAUAGGAGACCUAUCAAAAAAGAGAAAGGUCUUAAUUACAAUUGGGUGGUGGUAUUUCUACCCCACAAAUUCUGUAAGUCUAUCCUAGUAAAAAAAUAAUUACAAAAAAUUUACUUUAUUUUCAAAAAAAUUCAAAUAAAGAAGAAUUAUGAAGAAUUAAUCAAUUAAAUCUAUCUUAUUUAUUUUAUUGUGAUUAGAUUUUUUUUUCAUUAGAUUUGACUAAUAAGAUUGCUUUAACCUAAAUUUAAACUAGCUAUUUUACCCUUAAAAGAUAAAGUACCAAAAAUUUACUUUAAAUUCAACCUUUUUUUUUAUUUUAUACAAAUGGCAUUCUUUCUAAAUGGGUCAAUUCUACUUUAUUAAUAUGAUUAUUAACCUUUAAUUAAACUAACAUAAUGCCUUUAUGAGACAAUAUUCAUUUAAAUUAUUAGGCUGUCAAAUUUAUGUCAUUACAUGUAAAAUAUUAAAAAUUAUUAGACUUCAUAAAAUGUUUGAGUAUAGGUUACAAAAUUAAGUACCUAAAGUAUUAGAUACAAUGACAAAGAUUACUUCAGGCAACUGAGCCAUUUUAUAUUAUAAAGUAAAAUAAUUAUAUAGAACUUAUAUUACAACAACUUUAAUAGUAAAAUAAAAAAUGAGAAAAAAAUAUAAGAAUGAUUUAAUUGAUUAAUUAUACAAAUAUCUUUUUUAUUUGUAUUUAUUAGAAAUAAUGGUAUUUAUUGUGAAUAUUUUUAGAGGUGGGGUGGAUUUAGACAAAUAAUGGGGUGGAAGUAUCCCCUCCCUUUAAAAUUUAGUCAAUUUCUUUGAACGUUUUAUAUCUUGACCCCUUAGUUUAUAGAAGUUUUGCUUUAAAAUCCUGAAAUUUUUAAUUUCUUCAUUUUAAAUCCUAAUUCCGUGCCUUUCUCAGUUCAUAACUUAUGUAUUCCAAAACAUAGACGCAUUUAGCGUGUAUUUAUUUUUGAGAAUUUUUACAAGGUUAGAGUGUCCUUUAAAGUUAAAACAAGCCCUUAAUAUCUACGUAUAACGAGAAGAUUAUCAAUUUGCUCCUAAUAAAAUUAAUAACAAUUACUGAAAGUAAGGGUAAAAAGGUCAUUUCAUCUGACACAUGACAUUAUAGAGAAAUUUGAACUCAUUUGGCGUUAGAAAUAUAAAACUUAGAUGAAAGUUAAAAGGGCUUUUAGUAAAAUAAUCCAAAAUUAUUCAAAUUGUAAUUCUUCAAAAAUAAAAAAAAUUCUAAAAAAUAAUCGCAAAAACAUAAUAGUAGCAGUUGCAACAACAAUAGGGGAGUGAGUUUCGGGGGUUAGGAAUCACAAUAACUAAAACAAUUGAAAAAAAGUUAUGAUAGACAUUUUAAAUUUUUUAUCCUAAAUUUGAUUUCAAAUGAUAUAUCAUUCAUUGAGCGAUUGGUAGUUCUUUACAAGGUUCAAGUAAAUUAACUAUAUUAUCUCAGUAACCAAUUAAUUGAUGUAACAUCAUUUGACUUAAAUUUUUUAGAUAAAAAAUUUGAGGUGUAUAACACUACUCUUGAAAAAAUGAUUUUUUUUUCUUAAAUACAUACGUCAACUAUAUUUUAGGCUUGUUAUUUAUCCUAGAUGUGUUUAUCUCAAAAUUCCUCAAAAUACCCAUUCGGCCAUACCCAUAACGCUUUCACUACAACAUCAUCGAACAACAAAUAAAUUAAGAUAAAGUUUCCUCUUUAAUUAAUUGUUUGCUUCUAUCCAUUCUCUAACCUUGAAUGGUAAUGGAGUCAUCUCCACAUACUGUAUAUAAAUGCUAUAGCGAACACGGGCAAGGUUGGAAAAAAAUUGAGAGCCGAGCUACUCAAAUAGAACAAGGGGGAGCUAUAUGCCAAAAGAAAAAAGAAAAAUCAAUCAGAUUGCAAUGACCGAAUUAUUAGUUUAUUGUUCACUCAUAGCAAUGCAAUUAAUGUAGGAUAGUUAUGUAGGAUCAAUAGGAUAUCUUUCUGAAGUCAUAAGGUAAAAGUCUCUGUCUAGGGCAUAUAACUAAUAUACUAUUUUGAAACUUGUCCAAAGAAAAAAAAAAUCAAUCAGAUUGCAAUGACCUAAUUAGUUUAUUGUUCACUCGUACCAACGCUGCAAUUCAUCAAUUAUGUAUUCAAAAAAUGAGAAAGCUUCAAGAAGAGACAAUGCUACAAUGAAACAAAUACAGUGGGAAUACAAAACAGAGGAUUUACUUCGGACCUUUAUUUUUGUCCCUUUCUUUAGUUUUCAAAUCAUGAGAAAUCACAAAAUUCAAAGCUUCAACUUGAUCAAGUACGAAUGUAAUUUUGAUUCUUGCAAGGCAUAUUCUGAUUCUGACCAAUUUUUGGAUCCAAGUCGAGCAGUUUCUGGUAAUUUAACAUCAAAAUAGAUUGCAAGAGAAGAUACAAUAAAUAAAUAGAAAGACAAGCAAAUGAAGUACCAUAUGCGAAGAAAAUAAAUUGAAAUUAAGAUGCAUACUUUCUCGUAAAUUCAGAAAACAAAUGAUAAGUAGGCUUUACCCUCAUUCGAGUUGUCUAAAUCUUUUAGGAGGUGGAUCCUCAACAUCAUCACAGCUGCCACUUCCACUGGCUUCAGGUGCCCCAACAUAUUCAGUAAGG